AGAGUUUGAUCCUGGCUCAGAACGAACGCUGGCGGCGUGCCUAACACAUGCAAGUCGUACGAGAAAUCCUGGGUAACUGGGAAAGUAGAGUGGCGCACGGGUGAGUAACACGUGGGUAACCUACCCUUAGAUUUGGGAUAACUCCGCGAAAGCGGGGUUAAUACCGGAUGAUAUUCUGAUUCCCAAGGGAGUUGGAAUCAAAGAUGGUCUCUGCAUGCAAGUUAUCGUCAAAGGAUGGGUCUGCGUACCAUUAGCUAGUUGGUAGGGUAAUGGCCUACCAAGGCAACGAUGGUUAGCUGGUCUGAGAGGAUGGUUAGCCACACUGGAACUGAGAUACGGUCCAGACUCCUACGGGAGGCAGCAGUGGGGAAUUUUGCGCAAUGGGGGAAACCUUGACGCAGCAACGCCGCGUGGGUGAUGAAGGUUUUUGGGUCGUAAAGCCCUGUCAGGUGGGAAGAAACGUAUCGGUGCUAAUAUCACUGAUACUUGACGGUACUACCGGAGGAAGCACUGGCUAACUCCGUGCCAGCAGUUGCGGUAAUACGGAGGGUGCAAGCGUUGUUCGGAAUUACUGGGCGUAAAGCGCGUGUAGGCGGUCGGGCAAGUUAGAUGUGAAAGCCUUCCGCUUAACGGAAGAAGUGCAUUUAAAACUACCCGGCUGGAGUACGGGAGAGGAGAGUGGAAUUCCCGGUGUAGAGGUGAAAUUCGUAGAUAUCGGGAGGAACACCAGUGGCGAAAGGCGGUUCUCUGGUCUGAUACUGACGCUGAGACGCGAAAGCGUGGGGAGUAAACAGGAUUAG
rnacentral:rRNA from 1 species